AACGAACGCUGGCGGCAUGCCUAACACAUGCAAGUCAAACGAGAUCUUCGGGUCUAGUGGCGCACGGGUGCGUAACACGUGGGAAUCUGCCCUUUGGUUCGGAAUAACAGUUGGAAACGACUGCUAAUACCGGAUGAUGACGAAAGUCCAAAGAUUUAUCGCCAGAGGAUGAGCCCGCGUAGGAUUAGCUAGUUGGUGUGGUAAAGGCGCACCAAGGCGACGAUCCUUAGCUGGUCUGAGAGGAUGAUCAGCCACACUGGGACUGAGACACGGCCCAGACUCCUACGGGAGGCAGCAGUGGGGAAUAUUGGACAAUGGGCGAAAGCCUGAUCCAGCAAUGCCGCGUGAGUGAUGAAGGCCUUAGGGUUGUAAAGCUCUUUUACCCGGGAUGAUAAUGACAGUACCGGGAGAAUAAGCUCCGGCUAACUCCGUGCCAGCAGCCGCGGUAA
rnacentral:rRNA from 1 species